UAAUCUUUUCGGGCAAAUCCUCACUUGGUUAUAACAGACCCACACCUAAUUUCUCAAAAUCACCCACUACUGCGUGAAUAAUAAUUUUUUAAGAUU
rfam:Populus trichocarpa isolate Nisqually-1 chromosome 10, whole genome shotgun sequence.